rnacentral:rRNA from 1 species
AGAGUUUGAUCCUGGCUCAGAUUGAACGCUGGCGGCAUGCUUUACACAUGCAAGUCGGACGGCAGCACAGAGAAGCUUGCUUCUUGGGUGGCGAGUGGCGAACGGGUGAGUAACAUAUCGGAACGUACCGAGUAAUGGGGGAUAACUAAUCGAAAGAUUAGCUAAUACCGCAUAUUCUCUGAGGAGGAAAGCAGGGGACCUUCGGGCCUUGCGUUAUUCGAGCGGCCGAUAUCUGAUUAGCUAGUUGGUGGGGUAAAGGCCUACCAAGGCGACGAUCAGUAGCGGGUCUGAGAGGAUGAUCCGCCACACUGGGACUGAGACACGGCCCAGACUCCUACGGGAGGCAGCAGUGGGGAAUUUUGGACAAUGGGCGCAAGCCUGAUCCAGCCAUGCCGCGUGUCUGAAGAAGGCCUUCGGGUUGUAAAGGACUUUUGUCAGGGAAGAAAAGGCUGUUGCUAAUACCGACAGCUGAUGACGGUACCUGAAGAAUAAGCACCGGCUAACUACGUGCCAGCAGCCGCGGUAAUACGUAGGGUGCGAGCGUUAAUCGGAAUUACUGGGCGUAAAGCGAGCGCAGACGGUUACUUAAGCAGGAUGUGAAAUCCCCGGGCUCAACCUGGGAACUGCGUUCUGAACUGGGUGACUAGAGUGUGUCAGAGGGAGGUAGAAUUCCACGUGUAGCAGUGAAAUGCGUAGAGAUGUGGAGGAAUACCGAUGGCGAAGGCAGCCUCCUGGGAUAACACUGACGUUCAUGCUCGAAAGCGUGGGUAGCAAACAGGAUUAGAUACCCCGGUAGUCCAA